GAUGAACGCUGGCGGCGUGCCUAAUACAUGCAAGUCGAGCGAACGGACGAGAAGCUUGCUUCUCUGAUGUUAGCGGCGGACGGGUGAGUAACACGUGGAUAACCUACCUAUAAGACUGGGAUAACUUCGGGAAACCGGAGCUAAUACCGGAUGAUAUUUUGAACCGCAUGGUUCAAAAGUGAAAGACGGUCUUGCUGUCACUUAUAGAUGGAUCCGCGCUGCAUUAGCUAGUUGGUAAGGUAACGGCUUACCAAGGCAACGAUGCAUAGCCGCCCUGAGAGGGUGAUCGGCCACACUGGAACUGAGACACGGUCCAGACUCCUACGGGAGGCAGCAGUAGGGAAUCUUCCGCAAUGGGCGAAAGCCUGACGGAGCAACGCCGCGUGAGUGAUGAAGGUCUUCGGAUCGUAAAACUCUGUUAUUAGGGAAGAACAUAUGUGUAAGUAACUGUGCACAUCUUGACGGUACCUAAUCAGAAAGCCACGGCUAACUACGUG
rnacentral:rRNA from 1 species